rnacentral:tRNA from 3 species
AGAAUCAUCCAUAAAAAGCUUCUAACUUUUUCAAAAGCAUUAACAUGUUUAUGAUUCUC